rnacentral:rRNA from 1 species
AUGAGUGAGCAUAAUUGUAUCAUCCUAAACUGGAACGUUCGAGGACUCAACAAUCCCGCGUGUCACCAGGUUGUCCGUAACCUCAUUACACAAUCUAGCUCCAUUGUCAUCUGUCUUCAAGAAACAGAGAUUGCUCAUUUCGAUUGCUCACUUGUUUGUAAGCUUCUUGGGAGCACUUUUGCUGACUCCUUCUGCUUCCUCCCAGCCGAUAGAACCAGUGGGGGCAUCCUCCUGGCUUUCUCUUCGGAUGAUUUCAACAUCCUUAACUCCAGUGCCACCACCAAUUCUAUCUCUGCUUCUAUAUCCACGCGCGCCUCCUCUGCCUCAUGGAGCAUCUCUGCAGUUUAUGGGCCUCAGACGGAUGUUGACAAAUUUAACUUCAUCUCUGAGCUGCGUUCUCGGAAAACAAACAUGCUGCCC